GAAUUUAAAUACAAUUCAAUAGCAAACAUUGAAAAAACUAUGACAGUGUAUGUUUUUUUUUUAAUUUGAUGCAAGACAUUCAGUGUCGGGUGAUUGCAGGGAGAUAGGUGCCUGUCUUCAGGUGCAGUGUCUUGUAUGCUGUGGUCAGUCUAAAUUAAUUGAGUCUUGAUGUGUUCCAUUCAGUAGACCUGUGGAAAUAUACUGCAAAGCAUAUACUUGUUUUAAAAACAUGAUUACUAACACCAUUCAAAACAAGACCUGUUUAGUUGAAAGCCCACUCACCACGUCAAGGUACAGGUUAUGGGUGGGGUGUUAGUGAGACAGGACAAGACAAGACAAGACAAGGUGUAGGAGCCAUUUCUAUCCACCUUUUAGUUAGGUUUAUUUUAAUGUUACUUAUUUUAGCCACUUGGGCGAGUAUUGCACUGGGUGUGGCUCGUCACAGGAAAUUGGGUAUAUCUACAGGUGUGAUUACUCAAUUAGGGAAAGGUGUGGAUGGCGGGGAACACACGCCGUCCACACUGAGGCUUAUAGGAUAGCCUCCACACAAGGUUAAUGAAAAAGAAAAGGAUGCUUAGAUACUUUUAAAUAACAAAUGUGUAUAACAGACAUAUGUGACAGACAUACAAACUUCACAGGGACAUACAUAGAACAUGGUAUACAUAUAACAUACAUUUAAAGGGGAAAAUGGAGAGAGAACCAAACUUACCUGUCCCCUUACAAAAAACAGUAAAUACAACCUGUGACGCACGUCUAACCCCAGGUGUGCGCUGACAGAUUGCACGCCGCACUUGGGAACCGUAAAGGACUUCCUACAAGCGCAACGCACGCACUGCUCGCUGACCACACCUGUAAGACAGUAAAAACAAGGCACAUCUUUCUAACCCCAGGUGUGCGCUAACCACACCUGUAAGACAAAGUCUAACCCAUGUGACCGGUGACAGAAGCAAGGCAUGUCUAACUCCAAGUGACUGGCAUUGACUAGGGAACGCCAGCAGCAGGGCACAACUUUACCUUAUCUAACCGAACCUGUAAAGCUACAGUACGACGCAUUUAACCCCAGGUGUCCGCUGACCGAACCUAUAAAGCUACAGUACAACGCAUUUAACCCCAGGUGUCCGCUGACCGAACCUAUAAAGCUACAGUACAACGCAUUUAACCCCAGGUGUCCGCUGACCAAACCUGUAAAGCUACAGUACAACGCAUUUAAACCCAGGUGUCCGCUGACCAAACCUGUAAAGCUUUAUUUUAACGCAGACCAACGAGACGGGGCAGUAGCACCACGCCAUCUGGCUUAAUGCCAUUGAUACAGCUUAAAGUUCUUUCCGUAACACAACUAUGUGCUGUCCAGUCACGACACCACAACGUGUAUGCGUCUGUGGUAAGGGCGUGGAACACGGCUUUGUCCUGUGAAAACAAAAAAACCCAGAGUAAACUUCCACAAAACAAUAACAGAUACUGGUAGGUUGUCAGACUAGAGAGAAAAUAGAAACUACUUACAGUGGAACGUUGUUUGUGAUCUGCAGCAAUCACUGCAACGCACGUAUUCACAAUCUACAAGAAAGAAAAAGAAAUUUGAUGACAACAUGAUAGGAAAAAAGUAAAAUAAAAAUGUAUUUCUAAGUUUUACUUACAUCAUCGGUCAGCCAGUUGAACUCUGGGCCUGCCAGACUGUCUAAGUCGCGAAACGUGGCACGACAACUUCCAAUGCUGAUCAAGACCGCGUCUUUGUCCACAUCAUUGCGGAUCUGUUGCGUCAGUACCUGAUGGAUUGGAAGCAUGUGUACAGAAGUUACACAUAAUGUCCACCCCAAACUACUACUAAAUGGAAAAGACGGUUCACAUGGUAGACUAUAGACCAUUUUACCUUUGCAGCAAAAGGCACAGGAAACUUCUCCUCCAAAGUUAGAGACUACAUACAGAAAAACAGUGAAUGAUUUAAAUAACCAACAGAUCAAAAGAAGAAAGCAGAAGAAACUAAUACAUUGAAACGAACACUAAUACAUUUUAGAAAAUGUACCUCGUCCUCUGAACUUAUGGAGACAGUAGGAAUAUCUGAAAUUGGGAAAAACACACACACACAAACACAAACCAUUCAGCAUCUACUAUACAUAGACAUCUAUGUAUGUA
ensembl:lncRNA